GACGAACGCUGGCGGCGUGCUUAACACAUGCAAGUCGAACGGAAAGGCCUCUUUCGGGGGGUACUCGAGUGGCGAACGGGUGAGUAACACGUGAGUAACCUGCCCUUGACUUUGGGAUAACUUCAGGAAACUGGGGCUAAUACCGGAUAGGAGCUCCUGCUGCCUGGUGGGGGUUGGAAAGUUUCGGCGGUUGGGGAUGGACUCGCGGCUUAUCAGCUUGUUGGUGGGGUAGUGGCUUACCAAGGCUUUGCCGGGUAGCCGGCCUGAGAGGGUGACCGGCCACAUUGGGACUGAGAGACGGCCCAGACUCCGACGGGAGGCAGAAGGGGGGAAGAUUGCACAAUGGGUGGAAGCCUGAUGCAGCAACGCCGUGUGCGGGAUGACGGCCUUCGGGUUGUAAACCGAUUUCGCUCAUGACGAAGCUUUGUGUGACGGUAGUGGGUAAAGAAGCACCGGCUAACUACGUG
rnacentral:rRNA from 1 species